UUCAAAUGAGAGCACAGAGGAGGCUUCUUACAUCACGUGGUCAAGGCACCAAAGUGACUUGAUAGUCAUGCACAGGCUUCUAUGUCUGACUUCUGAGCCAACCACGAAGCUGACUCCUUAAAGUCUUAUUCGAGUUAA
rnacentral:lncRNA from 1 species